UACGGAGGGAGCUAGCGUUAUUCGGAAUUACUGGGCGUAAAGCGCACGUAGGCGGCUGUUCAAGUCAGAGGUGAAAGCCUGGAGCUCAACUCCAGAACUGCCUUUGAAACUAGAUAGCUUGAAUCCAGGAGAGGUGAGUGGAAUUCCGAGUGUAGAGGUGAAAUUCGUAGAUAUUCGGAAGAACACCAGUGGCGAAGGCGGCUCACUGGACUGGUAUUGACGCUGAGGUGCGAAAGCGUGGGGAGCAAACAGG
rnacentral:rRNA from 1 species